AAGUUUCAACAUUGGAUCAAUGACUAUGAACAUUGACAAAGUUUCUAAAAUGUGAUCUCUACUCACUUUCCAACAAAGUAAAACACUGUCACAUCUGACAGUUUCAAUGGAGCUGUUUCAGCUCCUGAGUGCUUUCCGGAAGAAGUAAAGUUGGGUGCCCUACCUUAAGGAGCUUUUCUAGACAGCAGAGAGGCACUUUUCCUGCACCUGGUUACCACACUGUAUCCUUCAAAACUUCUUGUGGACAAGCUGGUGAGUCUCUAAGAUGCAGCUGCCAUGCCAUUCCUUGAGCUGAACUCAGAAGACACAGGUUACCAUAAAACUGAAGGAUUCCUGAGCACAUUCACUUCUUAGAUGUACCCCUGAAGGUCUGCAGUUUCUAGACAAGGAAGAAAGUGGCUGAAUGCCAUUCAUCUUCAAAUUCAACUUUAUGUUUAUGGUAUUUACAGGCUUUUAAAUUAUUUUCAUCCUAUUGAUCCCAGG
ensembl:lncRNA